AGAGUUUGAUCCUGGCUCAGAUUGAACGCUGGCGGCAUGCCUUACACAUGCAAGUCGAACGGUAACAGGUCUUCGGAUGCUGACGAGUGGCGAACGGGUGAGUAAUACAUCGGAACGUGCCCAGUAAUGGGGGAUAGCUCGGCGAAAGCCGGAUUAAUACCGCAUACGCCCUGAGGGGGAAAGUGGGGGACCGCAAGGCCUCACGUUAUUGGAGCGGCCGAUGGCUGAUUAGCUAGUUGGUAGGGUAAAGGCCUACCAAGGCGACGAUCAGUAGCUGGUCUGAGAGGACGAUCAGCCACACUGGGACUGAGACACGGCCCAGACUCCUACGGGAGGCAGCAGUGGGGAAUUUUGGACAAUGGGGGAAACCCUGAUCCAGCAAUGCCGCGUGUGCGAAGAAGGCCUUCGGGUUGUAAAGCACUUUUGUCAGGGAAGAAAUCCUUUGGGCUAAUACCCUAGGGGGAUGACGGUACCUGAAGAAUAAGCACCGGCUAACUACGUGCCAGCAGCCGCGGUAAUACGUAGGGUGCAAGCGUUAAUCGGAAUCACUGGGCGUAAAGCGUGCGCAGGCGGUUGUGUAAGACAGGUGUGAAAUCCCCGGGCUUAACCUGGGAAUUGCAUUUGUGACUGCACGACUAGAGUGUGUCAGAGGGGGGUGGAAUUCCACGUGUAGCAGUGAAAUGCGUAGAUAUGUGGAGGAACACCAAUGGCGAAGGCAGCCCCCUGGGAUAACACUGACGCUCAUGCACGAAAGCGUGGGGAGCAAACAGGAUUAGAUACCCUGGUAGUCCACGCCCUAA
rnacentral:rRNA from 1 species